AUUGAACGCUGGCGGCAGGCCUAACACAUGCAAGUCGAACGAGUGGCGGACGGGUGAGUAAUGUCUGGGAAACUGCCAGAUGGAGGGGGAUAACUACUGGAAACGGUAGCUAAUACCGCAUACCAUCAGAUGUGCCAAGAUGGGAUUAGCUAGUUGGUGGGGUAACGGCUCACCAAGGCGACGAUCCCUAGCUGGUCUGAGAGGAUGACCGGCCACACUGGAACUGAGACACGGUCCAGACUCCUACGGGAGGCAGCAGUGGGGAAUAUUGCACAAUGGGCGCAAGCCUGAUGCAGCCAUGCCGCGUGAAUGAUGAAGGCCUUCGGGUUGUAAAGUACUUUCAGCAGGGAGGCGUUACCCACAGAAAAAGCACCGGCUAACUCCGUGCCAGCAGCCGCGGUAAUAC
rnacentral:rRNA from 1 species